GGGAAUGUGGCUGAGUGGUAGAGUGUUUGCCUCGCACGCAUGAAGUCCUGGGUUCAAUUCCUCAGUACCA
rnacentral:tRNA from 1 species